rnacentral:rRNA from 1 species
AACGAACGCUGGCGGCACGCCUAACACAUGCAAGUCGAACGAGACCUUCGGGUCUAGUUGCGCACGGGUGCGUAACGCGUGGGAACCUGCCCUUAGGUUCGGAAUAACUCCCCGAAAGGGGUGCUAAUACCGGAUAAUGUCUUCGGACCAAAGAUUUAUCGCCUUUGGAUGGGCCCGCGUUGGAUUAGCUAGUUGGUAGGGUAAAAGCCUACCAAGGCGACGAUCCAUAGCUGGUCUGAGAGGAUGAUCAGCCACACUGGGACUGAGACACGGCCCAGACUCCUACGGGAGGAAGCAGUGGGGAAUAUUGGACAAUGGGCGAAAGCCUGAUCCAGCAAGGCCGCGUGAGUGAUGAAGGCCUUAGGGUUGUAAAGCUCUUUUAACCGGGAUGAUAAUGACAGUACCGGGAGAAUAAGCGCCGGCUAACUCCGUG